rnacentral:rRNA from 1 species
AUUGAACGCUGGCGGCAUGCCUUACACAUGCAAGUCGAACGGUAACAGGUCUUCGGAUGCUGACGAGUGGCGAACGGGUGAGUAAUACAUCGGAACGUGCCUAGUAGUGGGGGAUAACUACUCGAAAGGGUGGCUAAUACCGCAUGAGAUCUACGGAUGAAAGCAGGGGAUCGCAAGACCUUGUGCUACUAGAGCGGCCGAUGGCAGAUUAGGGAGUUGGUGGGAUAAAAGCUUACCAAGCCGAGGAUCUGUAGCUGGUCUGAGAGGACGAUCGUCAACACUGGGACUGGGACACGGCCCAGACUCCUACGGGAGGCAGCAGUGGGGAAUUUUGGACAAUGGGCGCAAGCCUGAUCCAGCAAUGCCGCGUGCAGGAUGAAGGCCUUCGGGUUGUAAACUGCUUUUGUACGGAACGAAAAGCCCUGGGUUAAUACCCUGGGGUCAUGACGGUACCGUAAGAAUAAGCACCGGCUAACUACGUGCCAGCCGCCGCGGUAAAAC